GUUAGGUUAGUUUAACAAGAACAUUAGUUUGUGGUGCUAANGAUNANAUCUUUAUUUCUCUUAGCA
rnacentral:tRNA from 1 species